rnacentral:rRNA from 1 species
CCUACGGGUGGCAGCAGUGGGGAAUAUUGCACAAUGGGCGAAAGCCUGAUGCAGCGACGCCGCGUGUGGGAAGAAGUCUUUCGGGAUGUAAAGUCCUAUAAGCAAGGAAGAUAAUGACGGUACCUGACAAAGAAGCCCCGGCUAACUACGUGCCAGCAGCCGCGGUAAUACGUAGGGAGCAAGCGUUAUCCGGAUUUACUGGGUGUAAAGGGAGCGUAGACGGCGAUGCAAGUCUGAAGUGAAAUACCCGGGCUCAACCUGGGAACUGCUUUGGAAACUGUGUUGCUAGAGUGCUGGAGAGGUAAGCGGAAUUCCUUGUGUAGCGGUGCAAUGCGUAGUAAACAGUAUCCAUACACGACGCUAUGCCGAUCUUGCCUACCGCAAAGGAGGCAGACUCGACAAAGCGUGGUGCGCCCUGCGCUUCGGAGUAGGCUGUAGCU